rnacentral:rRNA from 1 species
CGGGGGAAAAAUUUAUUGCUAUUAGAUGAGCCUAUAUUAGAUUAGCUAGUUGGUGGAGUAAUAGCCUACCAAGGCAAUGAUCUAUAGCUGAUCUGAGAGGAUGAUCAGCCACACUGGAACUGAGAUACGGUCCAGACUCCUACGGGAGGCAGCAGUGGGGAAUAUUGGACAAUGGGCGAAAGCCUGAUCCAGCCAUGCCGCAUGAGUGAAGAAGGCCUUUGGGUUGUAAAGCUCUUUUAGUGAGGAAGAUAAUGACGGUACUCACAGAAGAAGUCCUGGCUAACUCCGUGCCAGCAGCCGCGGUAAUACGGAGAGGGCUAGCGUUAUUCGGAAUUAUUGGGCGUAAAGGGCGCGUAGGCUGAUUAAUAAGUUAAAAGUGAAAUCCCGAGGCUUAACCUUGGAAUUGCUUUUAAAACUAUUAAUCUAGAGAUUGAAAGAGGAUAGAGGAAUUCCUGAUGUAGAGGUAAAAUUCGUAAAUAUUAGGAGGAACACCAGUGGCGAAGGCGUCUAUCUGGUUCAAAUCUGACGCUGAGGCGCGAAGGCGUGGGGAGCAAACAGGAUUAGAUACCCUGGUAGUCCACGCUAUAAACGA